AGAACGAACGCUGGCGGCAUGCCUAAUACGUGCAAGUCGAACGAACACUUCGGUGUUAGCGGCGCACGGGUGCGUAACGCGCGGGAAUCUGCCCUUGGGUUCCGGAAUAACAGCUGGAAACGACUGCUAAUACCGGAUGAUGACGUAAGUCCAAAGAUUUAUCGCCCAGGGAUGAGCCCGCGUAGGAUUAGCUAGUUGGUGAGG
rnacentral:rRNA from 1 species